rnacentral:rRNA from 1 species
AAAUGACUCUCGGCAACGGAUAUCUCGGCUCACGCAUCGAUGAAGAACGUAGCAAAAUGCGAUACUUGGUGUGAAUUGCAGAAUCCCGUGAACCAUCGAGUUUUUGAACGCAAGUUGCGCCCGAAGCCAUCCGGUUCAGGGCACGCCUGCCUGGGCGUCACG